UGCGUCUGGAGCCGCUUUUCGGUCCGUGGAGACGCACUCCGGACGCAAGUCUGUGUCGGAUUUAGAUCUCCAUGAACUGAGAAACGGAGCACUACUC